rnacentral:sRNA from 1 species
ACACAGGUUGGCCUUAUUCACUGUGGGAGGGAAACAUACAAGGUGAUGAAUACCAAGAGGCAAGGAUCCCUGGAGCCAUCUCAGGAGGCUGGUGACCACACACGGGACAUGGAUUGAAUAUGGAAAAGUCCACGGGAAAUGGUCUUCUGUCUGGUUCAAAUGCUGAUUUGGCCGCUUAACAAAUUUUCCCAAGAUUAAGAGCCAUUAAGUUUGUAAAAUGAGGAUAGCCAUUCUAUAUUCUCAGGAUUUUGCAUAAGAUGGAAGUUUACUGUUCUGAUUUUCAUGCUGAAAGAGCAGCGAGAGAGAAAAUUCAUGAGCAAAAGGAGCAACUGGCAUUGCAGCUGGCAGUUCUGCUGAAAGAGAAUGAUGCUUUUGAAGACGGAGGCAGGCAGUCCUUGAUGGAGAUGCAGAGUCGUCAUGGGGCGAGAACAAGUGGCGCUGACCAGCAGGUUUACCUUGUUCAAAGAGGAGCUGAGGACAGGGACUGGCGGCAACAGCGGAAUAUUCCGAUUCAUUCCUGCCCCAAGUGUGGAGAGGUUCUGCCUGACAUAGACACGUUACAGAUUCACGUGAUGGAUUGCAUCAUUUAAGUGUUGAUGUGUCACCUCCCCAAAACUGUUGGUAAAUGUCAGAUUUUUUCCU